rnacentral:rRNA from 1 species
AUUGAACGCUGGCGGCAUGCUUUACACAUGCAAGUCGAACGGUAACAGGCCGCAAGGUUCUGACGAGUGGCGAACGGGUGAGUAAUGCAUCGGAACGUGCCCAGUCGUGGGGGAUAACUACUCGAAAGAGUAGCUAAUACCGCAUACGAUCUAUGGAUGAAAGCGGGGGACCGUAAGGCCUCGCGCGAUUGGAGCGGCCGAUGUCAGAUUAGGUAGUUGGUGGGGUAAAGGCUCACCAAGCCAACGAUCUGUAGCUGGUCUGAGAGGACGACCAGCCACACUGGGACUGAGACACGGCCCAGACUCCUACGGGAGGCAGCAGUGGGGAAUUUUGGACAAUGGGCGCAAGCCUGAUCCAGCAAUGCCGCGUGCAGGAAGAAGGCCUUCGGGUUGUAAACUGCUUUUGUACGGAACGAAACGGCUCUGGUUAAUACCCGGGGCUAAUGACGGUACCGUAAGAAUAAGCACCGGCUAACUACGUG